rnacentral:rRNA from 1 species
CGCUCUGAUCCAGUCACCCUGAGUGCACCUGAUCUCGUCAGGCCUCAGAAGCUAUGCCGCGGUUGAGCCUCGUUAUCGCUUGGAUGGCGGACCGCCUCGGAAAAUCAGCUGUUGUAGGUU